rnacentral:rRNA from 1 species
UACGGAGGGGGGCUAGCGUUGUUCGGAAUUACUGGGCGUAAAGCGCACGUAGGCGGCUUUGCAAGUUAGAGGUGAAAGCCCGGGGGCUCAACUCCGGAAUUGCCUUUAAAACUGCAUCGCUAGAAUUGUGGAGAGGUAAGUGGAAUUCCGAGUGUAGAGGUGAAAUUCGUAGAUAUUCGGAAGAACACCAGUGGCGAAGGCGACUCACUGGCCCGAUACUGACGCUGAGGCGCGAAAGCGUGGGGAGCAAACAGG